UCUAACAUGGGAUACAUGGAUUUAUUUACAGUUCAAUUGACAAAUAAUGACAUGGAUCAUCGAGGGAUGGUCUCAUUUAUUUAGGUAUCAACCUCAAACAAGAGGACAUGUAGGGAGAUCAGUACACAUUACGAUCGUUAGCAUUCCGAUCACUAAUAGGUUAGGAAAAGCGGCAGAUACUUCAAAUGCUUUGAUCCGGCUAAUCCGUAUUGUUGACAGUACCCUUUGUGAAGGAUCAUGUCGAGCUAACGAUUGUGGAUUCAGAAUCUAUUGUCAUCACAUUGAACACUUUGAAAUGAGGCUUUAGCUAUCACAGGCUGGUGUAGUUCAGCAGCUGACUGUUUUCUGGUUAGUGCAUCGAUAUUUCGAAGUAUCAGAUAGAAAACUGUAUAUUGUAUCAUCGAGGAAGGAUCGGGUGAUCAAUGAUUUAAAUCAGAAUCAAUAAAAAAUCUUAGUGGAAAAAUGUUUGUACGGAUUUCGUGUCUAUCACGAUGUUGUUAAAUUGUUAGCGCCUUCAGCAUUUUUACAGAGAUGGCGCCAUUGUUUUACUGCUUCAAUUUCAAAACUCUUAAGAAUCUUGUCAUGGCACAUUCCUGAUUACUUGAAGUUAUUCAUAAUUUCAAUAUAAGUUGAGAUGCAUCUUCAGAUACUCAACUAGAACGUCUG